UGCUUGGGAACUGAGAGGUACGCAAUGUCUCUUGUGUCUUAUCCACCAGUCUACGCCGUGGGAUGCUUAGAAUCAGAGCAGCUUGAUCAGUUGUUGCUGCUGUUGAUGUAAUUCUGAAUCUGCCAUCCCAACGCCUGUGGAUGCCUUCACUCGGAUACAGAAAAUCCAGUUCAACCACCUGCAAAAGAGAUAUAUUGGAGAGAGUUUAUAAAUCACAAAUUAUCUCGAAAAAUCCAGUCAUUUCAUGAAGACGAAAGUCUAACCUGCUCACUGUAGCCAGAGUUGCGGGACAUAACAACUCCCCCAUCUGCUUCCAGCUAUUGCCAUUGAGGUUACAUGAAAGCCUUCUCUCCAUUUCUUGUUUAUCCACUUGAAUGGAAAUGAAUCGCUAACUUUGUAAGACGAGUAAGAAAUUUUCUGGCUUAACAUCUCCAUGCACAUAACUGAAACCGCAGAAGAUCAUGCCUUGUUAGGCUAGUUAACAAAGAAAAAAGACAUAUUAUGUUAAGAGGUGCAAGGGCUCAAACACAUGUAAGAAGGAACUUCAGUCAAGCAAGGUAAAUACAAAAACAAAAAAAGUUCAAGUGCAAACCCUUUCGCAGGAACUCCCCAAGGAUGUGUAGUGGAUACUCACGCUUGCCAUGAAGUGUUCCAUAUAUCCCAUAAAUCUCGUCCCAAGCAUAUCCAUAAACCAAGGCCAAAAAAUGGAUCUACCAUUAAUGAUAUUAAUAGUAGAAAAUCACAAAGGAGAGUGAAUGGGAGAGCCAAAACGAUAAUAUAAUAGUAUCCUUGUCUUCCUUUGAAAUGUAAUAUAAGGACUCCACGACUGCCAUCAACCGGGUCAAGUAGUUAAUCAUAUGGAACAAUUCACGAGAGCUACUAAGGCAAGAUUCAAAGGAACAGUGCGGAUGAAAGGACGAAGGCAUCGCAUCAUCAGCGAUGUUAGCAGCUUUUGAUCUUUUCCAUAUUACUUUAGAAACUUUCGGUACAGAACGCAUCAGCCUUGUGUUCCUUCUUUGAUUUCCGAAUCUAAAGAUAUUUGCCUUAGUAGUUUCAUGAAAUGUUCAAACGAUCAACAGACUCCUUGACCCGGUUGAUUUUUCGUCAUGUCACCCUACAAAAAAAAUACAAUAAAUGUGAUCAGUAGAAGCUAUGCAAGCUAUGAAAAUAAGCAACAUUUUGAUUAGACCUUGGGCUUUUUCCAAACAGAACCAAAGUUUAUGUUCCAAUUUAGGUUAGGAGUUCGGUUCGGUAAGUUUUGAAGAAACUAAAUUUUGGUUCAGUUAGGCAAUCAGUUACUUUGGUUUUCUAUUUUUUUUUUCCUAAAACAAUUAUAACCAAACAACACUAAAACUCAAACCGAACUAAUCCAAAUAACUGAACUCACCAAACUUAUCCGAAAUUUAAACAAAAUUUAACAGAUCAAAAACUUUGGUUAAGUUCGGUAGAUUUUCAAAAACCCAACUAACCUAAUACCGAACAGAAGUUCAUUUCAAGUUAAUUUGGAGAGAUUUAGGGCAACCCAAAUUACCAAUUCUGAGUAUGCAAAGCAGUAGAAAACACCAAAUGUAUAGAAUCAGAAAAAAAAAAAAAAGAUUACAACUUACAAGUCACAAUAUUCAGUUUUGCCGUCCAACACGAUGAACAUGGUUUUAACCGCCUUUACAUUUAUUUAAAACUAACUAAAACUAGAAACCAUGUUAAUAUCAUCUUCCUUUUUGUCAAUAAAACCUGUGCUUCAACUUUCAAAGUAUCAAAUAUUAACAGGAUCUUUUUUAUUUCUCAUAAGACUCCGAGCUCAUUUACCAUAUGACAGUUCCAAAUGCAUGAAUAUGACACCAAAAUCUCUAUGUUAACCGAGACUAAAUGACUUACCUAAUUACAUUUUUAUUACGAUCACGUGACAGUUAUUUUAUAAAUAUAUACAGUCAUAUCUGAAAAACUUACCUUUUAAAACAAAAGAUAGCAGAUGAAAACAACAGCAAAAAAAUGACUAACAGCACAUACUCGCAUACAUACACACUAAAGUUUGAAUAAGGAAAAUAGAAGGCUAACAAUACUUGCUUACUGUAAAAGAAAGUAACUUCAAAGGUUAUGAACUUUUUACGAAGAAGCAAGUUUACCUUGGAAUGAUUAUUGUCAAAAUGGAUCCUCUCAUUUGAUGUGUAUCUGAAGACUUCAAGAGUUUGAACGUCACCACUUGCGAUACUUGCUUCCAUCUACCAAAAGAGGACAAAGAUGAUGAAACAAAAAGGGUUGAUGACUUGAUGUUGGUUAGGGAAUGUAACACACGUUUUCCCAGUCUCAAGCCAAGCGAAGACCCAACUCUAAUCCACAGGAGAAGAAUAUGACUUUGAUUUUAGGGUUUGUUUUCAUCAAACAACAACAAAAAAAGGGUCAUUGAGCUUUAUUGAAAUGCAAAGAACAAGAAAUGAAAAGACCUUUUUGCCACCAAGAUAGAAAAAAAAAAAGAAGAUUGUGCUUUCGUGAAGCAAGAAUUGUUCCGAGACAAUGUUACUACGCGUAUUUAUACUAAACCUAUCUUGAUAGGAAACCACUAAUGGACUUGAUUGUUUCUUUGGGCUUGGGCUCUUAUAGGGUCAUGUGAUAGUUCGAUUCGAUUUGUGGAAACCUUCCGCCUUAGUUGUGAAAGAAAACAACGAUCUUAAGCCACCACACCUUAUAAGCGGUCGUGAUAGUUCAAGUCAUGACAGUCGAGACGCUUAAUCACCACUCACAAUUGGCUUUGUUCUUCUCAGCUGACAAUACCAACAAGGAGCUGAAGUUGAACAUUUCAAGUCAUGCAUGGCGACAACAGCAAAAAAAAAUAUAGAUUAUUUGGUUGUGAAGUUAUAAUAAUACUGGUAUCAAAAAUAUCUUUCUCUUUUUAUAUGAAAUUAAAUAGCAGUAAAGGGGAAAUGUAUAGAUAAACGGGUGAUUAAUCAACAUUGAUUCAUAAUUCAACUGAAAUAGACACAACAAGAAUAGGAACAACAUUUUAGAAACAUUUUUCUCUCUCGAUUGUUUUAAACAAUUUUACUAAUACAUUUUAAGAUACGGUUCGGCCAUAACUUAGCGAUGCGAGGUAGAGAUUUUUCCCCCAUUUUUCCUAAACAACAAAAGGUAAAAAAAAACACAAUGCAUAAGAACUUAGUAGAAACAAAAACAAAUCUCAGAGACUUAAGUAAAUCUUUACUCUACUCACCUUGACAUGUGUGCUUGGGAACUGAGAGGUACGCAAUGUCUCUUGUGUCUCAUCCACCAGUCUACGCCGUGGGAUGCUUAGAAUCAGAGCAGCUUGAUCAGUUGUUGCUGCUGUUGAUGUAAUUCUGAAUCCACCAUCCCAACGCCUGUGGACUCCUUCACUCGGAUACAGAAAAUCCAGUUCAACCACCUGCAAAGAGAUAUAUGUUGGAGAGUUUAUAAAACUGAAGGAAGAGGAAGAAGAAGGCAUCUCAUGAAGACAAAAGUCUAACCUGCUCACUGUAGCCAGAGUUGCGAGACAUAACAACACCCCAUCUGCUUCCAGCUGUUGCCAUAGAGGUUACAUGGAAGCCUUCUCUCCACUUCUUG
rnacentral:lncRNA from 1 species